rnacentral:miRNA from 1 species
ACUUAGUAGAUAUGAUGCAUU